UACGAAGGGGGCUAGCGUUGCUCGGAAUCACUGGGCGUAAAGGGUGCGUAGGCGGGUCUUUUAAGUCAGGGGUGAAAUCCUGGAGCUCAACUCCAGAACUGCCUUUGAUACUGAAGAUCUUGAGUUCGGGAGAGGUGAGUGGAACUGCGAGUGUAGAGGUGAAAUUCGUAGAUAUUCGCAAGAACACCAGUGGCGAAGGCGGACUCACUGGCCCGGUACUGACGCUGCGGUGCGAAAGCGUGGG
rnacentral:rRNA from 1 species